rnacentral:rRNA from 1 species
GAUGAACGCUGGCGGCGUGCCUAAUACAUGCCAGUCGAGCGAACAGAUGAGGAGCUUGCUCCUCUGACGUUAGCGGCGGACGGGUGAGUAACACGUGGAUAACCUACCUAUAAGACUGGGAUAACUUCGGGAAACCGGAGCUAAUACCGGAUAAUAUAUUGAACCGCAUGGUUCAAUAGUGAAAGACGGUUUUGCUGUCACUUAUAGAUGGAUCCGCGCCGCAUUAGCUAGUUGGUAAGGUAACGGCUUACCAAGGCAACGAUGCGUAGCCGACCUGAGAGGGUGAUCGGCCACACUGGAACUGAGACACGGUCCAGACUCCUACGGGAGGCAGCAGUAGGGAAUCUUCCGCAAUGGGCGAAAGCCUGACGGAGCAACGCCGCGUGAGUGAUGAAGGUCUUCGGAUCGUAAAACUCUGUUAUUAGGGAAGAACAAAUGUGCAAGUAACUAUGCACGUCUUGACGGUACCUAAUCAGAAAGCCACGGCUAACUACGUG